UGGAAACAGAGAGUUUUGCAGUUCAAGGAAUACAAAAACACUGCAAAAGAAGCUGGUCAAGUGACUCUUGCAAAAAUAGAAAAGUGGUUCGGUUUAAACUCUAGAACCUUGCUACAGAAGGUGUAGCCUGCAGGUCCCAGUGGGAGCUAGUUAAAAAUGUAGAUAGAGUCUCAGGCCCUAACCCAGACCUACUGAAUCAUUACAUGCAUUUCAAUUAAGUCCUAAUGAUUUGUACACAGGUUACAGUUUGAGAAACACAGCUCUAGAGAUACCUGGCAAAGCAAGAAUGUGGGCACCGGGCUUCAGGAGGUGGAGGCAUUCUUUACCAUGAGGAUAAAAGCCACACAUUAAGGAUGGAAGAGCAGUGAAGACAUGGUGAAGCUACUGUACCAGUUAUGGGCUGCCUACUUCCCAAGGGAAUAUGUAGGCUUACCUGAAACUUUCUCCUCAAGGCCCGAGUCAUUACUGGAGUAAGCCCAGUUCCUGUGUCCAUGUUUUCUUUAUUGACUUAAAAUAACACAAAACAACAAUACUCUGAAGAUGUUUAGGAGAACCUCAGAGGAAGUAAGCAAUCUUGCAGUUGCCUGAAAAAAAGAUUAAACCUCAUCACAUCCAUGCCCAGGACUUUAUAUGGAGAGAUGUCACUGAGAACCUCUAUCUAAGGUCCAGAGUUCACUGGGUGAAAUCCCCAGAAUCUGAGACUUCCAUGGUAACUUCCUCUUCUUGUCUCCAUCUGCCCCUUGCAGCCCUCCCCAAAUUCUGUUCCCUCUCUCCCUUUGAUGUCUUUUGUUAGAUGUCAAACUGACACAGAGAACUGGUCUCCUGCCUCCUUUUUUCUUAUAUUCACCAAGCACUCAGUUACAAAAGUAGACUUCAGAAAGGAGCUGGACAUUCUGGUUUAAACUUGGUAGAUUGGCUCUAUUCCUUUAUCUCCACUCCCAACAGUGUGCUAGGGUUGGCAACAACUGAUACAUUUUCAGGAAGUUUGUGAGUUAGUUGUGAAACACAUCCACCAUUAAAAUUAAAUUAUAUAAAUUAUAUAAUAUAUUACAUAUAUUUUGUAUAACAUUAUUACAUUAUAAAAUGUAUAUUAUGUAUAUUGAUGCAAAGCUCAUUACUUCCUAAUGAUUUUACUAUUAUUUAUGCUGUUGAGGUUGUUUACAUUAUUGUAUCUAUAUAGUGAAAAUGCUAUAAAAUGCUGAUUUCUUUCCAAUUCCAUAUUCAGUGACUUCACAUUGAAAUAUUGAAAUUGGCUAUGAUGGGAGUAUUUACAUUGUGGACAUAACACCACAAAUCAGGGCUUGAUUCAUUAUGCUGUUGAUUGUUAAGAGAGUGAUAAAGAAAACAUUAAUAAUACAGGUUAGAUUUAAAAGCAAAUCUUGGGGGCAUCUGGAUGGCUCAGUCAUCAUUGUGUGCCAAGUAUACUUCAAGAAAAAAAUAAAUAAAAAAUAAAAGAUCAUGUUAAUUCUGGAAAAAAAUUCUCAUAUAUUAUUCCUAUUGUUAUCGGUUAGUUUUCUUUCAGUAUAGGUGUGUGUACAGUAUAUUAUAUACUAUGUAUAAUUUACAAAAUAAAUGUAUGUAAUAUAUAAAUUUAUAUUUUACAUAAGUUUAUAUAUUAUUACAUAUAUAUUAUAUACAUACACACACCCCUAAAUAAAAAAAUAGCAAUAGUAAAAAAUAUGAGCUUCAAUUAUACUAUUUUUGUAAAUUUUCAUAAAGUUUGAAAAUUUGCAAAAUAAAAAAGUAUGAUAGAUAUAUGUGUAUAUAGACAUAUAACAUUUAUAUAUACACACACAAAUAAUAGUUUUUAGUUUUUGGCUGAGCAGAAUCAUGAUACUUCAUGCCUAGAUACUUCAACUUGAGUUUCCUAACAUGGACAUGGACAUUGUCCUACAAAACCAAUCACAGCCAGGAGAUUUAAGCUUGAUAUUAUCUAAGAAGUCCAUAAUUACCUCAGUCACCUCAAUAAUAUCCUUUACAGCUGCUCUCUUUCCCCUUCCACAAUGUGUCUUUUUAGUUUCCUUCAAUUCACAAUAGUUCCCUAGUCUUUUCAUGUAAGUAUUUGCCUUUCUUUCUAUUUAUAUUGCUGAAGACUCCAGACCAGUUGUUUUGGAAAACGUCCCUCAGUUUGGGUUUGCCCAAAUAUUCCUUUAAUGAUCUUCCUGACUUUAGUCUUUCUCCGUGCCAAUCAUUUUCUACAGAAAAUGAUUACUAGAGUUAGUAAAAAAAAAAAAAAAAAAAAGGAUCCUGAUAAUUCCCUUGCUUAAAAGUAUUUGAAGAUUCCUUUUCAUUCUCUGAAUAAACUAAAUUCCUUCAUGCCUUUCAAAGAUCAUCACAAUUUAGUCUGAUGGCCCUUUGCUGCCUCAUCUCUACUAGUGAUUCGUGGUACUUCAGGUAUACCAAACACUGAAUACUUUCUAUAGUAUAGUUAGCAGGCUCAGGCUCUCCCUCUGCUUGGGGGUAUCCUUUUUCAAGUCAACUUAUAUAGCUUCAAGAUGCUGUUACUUUUUCUCACAGAUAUUUGUUGAAUGCUGAUAAUCCACCAUGGUAGGUAGGUGUGGUCGGUUUUGGGAUACAAUUUGAGACAAGACCAACAUAGUUUCUAUCCUUAUGGAAUUUAUGCUGAUAAAAAUGUCAUACCUUUUGUACUUCUAUAGCACUUUAUAAACACUCUUAUUAUAACAUUUACUGUAUUGCAUUGUAAUUUUUGUUUGCAUGUUUGUCACCCAGCUAGACUACGGACUUUUCAAGGUUAAGAUUAAUUUUAUUCAUCUUUAUU